rnacentral:lncRNA from 1 species
AAAGGAUCAGAAUGUGAAGAUUUAAGAGAGAAAAAUAAGAAAUAUUGAGAAUGUAUAUUUAUAAGCUGCAGAAGUGGAAGCGGUGUUUGGUUAGGCAUUAAUGGGGGAAAAGAAAGUGGGUACGUGUCAGUGUAAAUGGCAGUGAUAAGUGGUAGCAGUUAAAGGCUAGGCACGAUUUCCUAAGGUCUAGGAAACAUGAUGAUUACCU